rnacentral:rRNA from 1 species
GAGUUUGAUCAUGGCUCAGAACGUACGCUGGCGGCACGCCUAACACAUGCAAGUCGAACGAAGUAGCAAUACUUAGUGGCAGACGGGUGAGUAACAUGUAGGUAUCUGCCCUUUGGCCUGGAAUAACACGAGGAAACUUGUGCUAAUACCGGAUAAGUCUUUACGGAGAAAGCUUUAUGCACCAUUGGAUGAGCCUGCACUUGAUUAGUUUGUUGGUGGGGUAAUGGCCUACCAAGACUGUGAUCAAUAGCUGAUUUGAGAGGAUGAUCAGCCACAUUGGGACUGAGACACGGCCCAAACUCCUACGGGAGGCAGCAGUGGGGAAUCUUGCACAAUGGAGGAAACUCUGAUGCAGCGAUGCCGCGUGAGUGAAGAAGGCCCUUGGGUUGUAAAGCUCUUUCGUCGGGGAAGAAAAUGACUGUACCCGAAUAAGAAGGUCCGGCUAACUUCGUGCCAGCAGCCGCGGUAAUACGAAGGGACCUAGCGUAGUUCGGAAUUACUGGGCUUAAAGAGUUCGUAGGUGGUUGAAAAAGUUAGUGGUGAAAUCCCAGAGCUUAACUCUGGAACUGCCAUUAAAACUUUUCAGCUAGAGUAUGAUAGAGGAAAGCAGAAUUUCUAGUGUAGAGGUGAAAUUCGUAGAUAUUAGAAAGAAUACCAAUUGCGAAGGCAGCUUUCUGGAUCAUUACUGACACUGAGGAACGAAAGCAUGGGUAGCGAAGAGGAUUAGAUACCCUCGUAGUCCAUGCCGUAAACGAUGUGUGUUAGACGUUGGAAAUUUAUUUUCAGUGUCGCAGGGAAACCGAUAAACACACCGCCUGGGGAGUACGACCGCAAGGUUAAAACUCAAAUGAAUUGACGGGGACCCGCACAAGUAGUGGAGCAUGUGGUUUAAUUCGAAGAUACGCGCAGAACCUUACCAACACUUGACAUGUUCGUCGCGACUCUAAGAGAUUAGAAUUUUCGGUUCGGCCGGACGAAACACAGGUGCUGCAUGGCUGUCGUCAGCUCGUGUCGUGAGAUGUUGGGUUAAGUCCCGCAACGAGCGCAACCCUCACUUUUAGUUGCCAUCAUUAAGUUGGGCACUCUGAAAGAACUGCCAGUGAUAAGCUGGAGGAAGGUGGGGAUGACGUCAAGUCCUCAUGGCCCUUACGUGUUGGGCUACACCCGUGCUACAAUGGUAUCUACAACAGGAAGCAAGACUGCGAAGUUAAGCAAAUCCCUAAAAGAUACCUCAGUUCGGAUUGCACUCUGCAACUCGAGUGCAUGAAGCUGGAAUUACUAGUAAUCGUGGAUCAGCGUGCCACGGUGAAUGCGCUCCCGGGUCUUGUACACACCGCCCGUCACACCAUGGGAGUUGGUUCUACCUUAAGGCAAGGUUUCAAACCCUUGACCACGGUAUAGUCAGCGACUGGGGUGAAGUCGUAACAAGGUAACC